rnacentral:lncRNA from 1 species
GAAAAUCGAAGAGAGAAACCUGGAGUCAGCGACGGAAAGCAAGAAGCUCACCACCGCCAGCCACCGCAAAACCACCACCACCACCUCCAACCUUACUCAAAACCCACUGUAAAUGGCUAGAAUCGUUACCCCAGAGAGUGGAAUUCCUCAAGCCCUAAACCCAAUACCACUGUUACAAUGGUUCCCGGGUAUGGGAAGCGCUCCGACUGUCAUGCAACCACUAUCGGAGAAGAAGGAAGAUAGAAAACAAUCAAAGGAAGCAGCGAUGAUCACCACAACGAGGAAGCUCACAUACUCAGUCGAAUCUCAGAAGCAAACCUUUGCUGAAGUGAUUACAGGUAACAGAAACCAGAAGCAGGGCAUGCAACUAAAAUUCUACUCUCCGGUGGUCAAAGAUG